GCUCCGCCUCCUCCUCGCCGCCCGCCCUGCUCUCCACCCUCGCUCCCCGCACACAGCCCGCCUCCCCCUGGAAGAAGCUUUCCCUGGCCUCUAACCCACAGCGUCCUCUCCCUGCUGUGAACUCGCGGCCUCCACCAAGCAUCCUGCCCCUCUUGGACGCACUUCAGCCUUCACAUAAUUAUUAUGCUAAUAACUUCGGGGGUGUCCAUCUCAUCUGCCCACACCAUCACCCCCAGUGCCUGGAACAGAGAAGACCCCGCUGGCUGGGGUGCCCCCUGAGGGCGGGGACACUGUCCUGGCCGCAAGGAUAUGAGCGCUCCGUGAACAUGUGCUGAGCUGCACCCCUUGCUCAUCUGACGUGACAAGAACAGAGGCCGGAGCCCCAACCUGCUCACUGAGCGGCCGGGCCGGAGAUGAUUUCCUGGAGUCCUUGAUGGCCGUUGGAAGUGAGGUUACAGCCUGCAGCCCUGGGCUUGGUUGGCCUGGGUCUGUGAUGGUGAUGAUAAAGCGCUCACUAUGUGGUCUGCACCGCUGAGCACGCCGCCCUUGCCUGGGGACCAGCCCCUCCGAGCCCGGAUGGAAGUGACGUGUUAGAAAGCCCUGUGUCCGCCCCAGUGAGUCCAGAGUCCUCCCAGGUCAGCAGAAAGAGCCGGAUGCAGGGUCUCCUCACUGGGCGUCCCUGUGGCCAGGGCCUCUGCAUGCCUCACCUUCCUGGCUCUCCACAAUGAC